rnacentral:lncRNA from 1 species
AUUUCCCCAGUGGCUAAAUCGGAGCCAAAAUCCCAGCCAAACGGCCAGAAAACACGGCCGAAAGCCAGCAGCGCCGCCGCGCCCCUCCUCGGUUUUUGCCUCCGAUGAGGCCCUUCCCGGCCUCUGUUUAAUGCAAUUUUUAUAUCACCGUGAUCACCAUUCUUUCCUCUACAGGUUGAUCGGAGCCGAAUCACCAAAACACGAACUUCACCGGAGAGCCACCGCACCCGAGAGCACCGCCGCCGGUAAGCUUCGGUUUUCCGUAAAUUUUCGGCCCCCC